rnacentral:rRNA from 1 species
CCUACGGGAGGCAGCAGUGAGGAAUAUUGGUCAAUGGACGAGAGUCUGAACCAGCCAAGUAGCGUGAAGGAUGACUGCCCUAUGGGUUGUAAACUUCUUUUAUAUGGGAAUAAAAUGUUCCACGUGUGGGAUUUUGUAUGUACCAUAUGAAUAAGGAUCGGCUAACUCCGUGCCAGCAGCCGCGGUAAUACGGAGGAUCCGAGCGUUAUCCGGAUUUAUUGGGUUUAAAGGGAGAGUAGGUGGAUUGUUAAGUCAGUUGUGAAAGUUUGCGGCUCAACCGUAAAAUUGCAGUUGAAACUGGCAGUCUUGAGUACAGUAGAGGUGGGCGGAAUUCGUGGUGUAGCGGUGAAAUGCUUAGAUAUCACGAAGAACUCCGAUUGCGAAGGCAGUUCACUGGACUGCAACUGACACUGAGGCUCGAAAGUGUGGGUAUCAAACAGGAUUAGAUACCCGUGUAGUC